UCAGCGCACGGGUGCAGAGGCUCCCGGGGAGCCCGGCGUGCUCGGAGCUCGGCGGGACCGGGACCGGCCCCGUGUUCGCAGGGACGUGUUGGAUCCGCCGGCUUUGGAGGCUCCGCCGAGCGGGGCCCACGCGAGAGAGAAAUGCAUUAGGCACAAAGUGCUCACAUGAUUUCCUCCAUCCUGCAUCUCAAAUGAAACAGAAGCGAAGGGGGAGACCCUGUUGGGUUAGUUUCUGUUUUUGUAUUGCCUCUGACAAGCCCACCCCCCCCUUCUCUUGGACCGGGACUUACACCCAUGCCCUCCUGAUUCCCGGGUCCUUCCUGUCCCUUUAAUCCCUUCCCCCAGGAACCCUCAGGAAACCUGGAGGGUAUUCUUUACCCAUAAUGCUCAACUCAGCUCAUUCUGUAUCCGUCCCUCUUGACAGAAUUAAACCCUAAUGCCCUAAGGUAUACGUUGUAUGUAAUUAACUUCCCUCUGAGGCUUCUAGAAUGAGAAGGGUGGUUAGGUCCCUCCUUGGGAGAAUCCAGGGAAUGGUCACUCAAAUUGUUGUCUGUGUUCUGUGGUUCAGGUGAGGAUCGUCACAGCUGAACAGCAAGUGAGGUUUUCC
rnacentral:lncRNA from 1 species